UGGGGAAUAUUGCACAAUGGGCGCAAGCCUGAUGCAGCCAUGCCGCGUGUGUGAAGAAGGCCUUCGGGUUGUAAAGCACUUUCAGCGGGGAGGAAGGCGGUGAGGUUUAUAACCUCAUCGAUUGACGUUACCCGCAGAAGAAGCACCGGCUAACUCCGUGCCAGCAGCCGCGGUAAUACGGAGGGUGCAAGCGUUAAUCGGAAUUACUGGGCGUAAAGCGCACGCAGGCGGUCUGUCAAGUCGGAUGUGAAAUCCCCGGGCUCAACCUGGGAACUGCAUUCGAAACUGGCAGGCUAGAGUCUUGUAGAGGGGGGUAGAAUUCCAGGUGUAGCGGUGAAAUGCGUAGAGAUCUGGAGGAAUACCGGUGGCGAAGGCGGCCCCCUGGACAAAGACUGACGCUCAGGUGCGAAAGCGUGGGGAGCAAACAGG
rnacentral:rRNA from 1 species